GACGAACGCUGGCGGCGUGCUUAACACAUGCAAGUCGAACGGAAAGGCCCUGCUUGCAGGGUACUCGAGUGGCGAACGGGUGAGUAACACGUGGGUGAUCUGCCCUGCACUUCGGGAUAAGCCUGGGAAACUGGGUCUAAUACCGGAUAGGAGCCAUCUUUAGUGUGAUGGUUGGAAAGUUUUUUCGGUGUAGGAUGAGCUCGCGGCCUAUCAGCUUGUUGGUGGGGUAAUGGCCUACCAAGGCGGCGACGGGUAGCCGGCCUGAGAGGGUGGACGGCCACAUUGGGACUGAGAUACGGCCCAGACUCCUACGGGAGGCAGCAGUGGGGAAUAUUGCACAAUGGGCGCAAGCCGGAUGCAGCGACGCCGCGUGGGGGAUGACGCCUUCGGGUUGUAAACUGCUUUCGGUAGGGACGAAGCUUUUUGUGACGGUACCUAGAGAAGAAGCACCGGCUAACUACGUG
rnacentral:rRNA from 1 species